GGCCGAUUCGUCUAGCGGUUAGAGGCAUCGCCCUUUCGCGGCGGUAACACGGACGGUCCGCCGCCGGACGCGGAACGCUGCGGUUCGAUUCCCGUAUCGGUCA
rnacentral:tRNA from 1 species